AUGGAGACGAAUAAAGCUCACCUAAAGAUGAAACAUGGUUUCAUUUUUGCGGUUAAGCUCUACAAUGCAGUAAAUCACUCAAAUUUUGGUUGUCGAAAUUGGAGAGGACUAUGCAAGGCCUAUGGAUUUCAGGAGGAUAUGAAAAUAACCUUCGAUAUUGGUCCUCAAGAUGAUCCUAAAGAUAAUAUCGACAUUUCGGUGGAUGUGGACAUGAUUCCAGUUCUACCUCUAUCUUAUUUCUUUUCUCCAAGAAAUACACGAAAGAAAGGUUGUAGACAAGUCAUACUGCAGUUAUGGCUCGGAGCUAACUUGGAAGGAGAAAAAUUCCGUUGUCUCAUUUAUUAA
rnacentral:rRNA from 1 species